GUGAAACCGCGAAUGGCUCAUUAAAUCACACCUAAUAUACUGGAUAGUAUCAGUUACUUGGAUAACUGCGGUAAUUCUGGAGCUAAUACAUGCGUCCAAGCCCCGAACGUAAGUGAGGGGCGCUUUUAUUAGAUCAAAACCAAACGACCUCGUGUCGUCCCCCUGGUGACUCUGAAUAACUUUGUGCUGAUCGCACGGCUUCACGCCGGCGACGUAUCUUUCUAAGGUGUGCCCUAUCAACUGUCGACUGUGGCAUAGACGCCCACAGUGGUUUUGACGGGUAACGGGGAAUCAGGGUUCGAUUCCGGAGAGGGAGCCUGAGAAACGGCUACCACUUCUAAGGAAGGCAGCAGGCACGCAAAUUACCCACUGGUCGCAGACCGAGGUAGUGACGAAAAAUAACGAUACCGGACUCAUCCGAGGCCCGGUAAUCGGAAUGAGUACACUUUAAAUCCUUUAACGAGGAACCAUUGGAGGGCAAGUCUGGUGCCAGCAGCCGCGGUAAUUCCAGCUCCAAUAGCGUAUAUUAAAGUUGUUGCGGUUAAAAAGCUCGUAGUUGGAUCUCGGCGGGUAGGGGGCGGUUCGUCGUUUGACGCUACUGCCCCAUUCGCCCGUGAAUGGUGUGGCGGAGGUUCCAGGGUGCUCUUAAUCGAGUGUCCUGGGAUGCCGUCAGGUUUACUUUGAAAAAAUUAGAGUGCUCAAAGCAGGCUUUACACGCUUGGAUAUUCGUGCAUGGAAUAAUGGAAUAGGACGUCGUUUCUAUUUUGUUGGUUUUCGGAAAUCGACGUAAUGAUUAAUAGGGACAGUCGGGGGCAUUAGUAUUCAGACGACAGAGGUGAAAUUCUUGGACCGUCUGAAGACUAACUACUGCGAAAA
rnacentral:rRNA from 1 species